AUUGAACGCUGGCGGCAUGCCUUACACAUGCAAGUCGAACGGCAGCACGGGUGCUUGCACCUGGUGGCGAGUGGCGAACGGGUGAGUAAUACAUCGGAACAUGUCCUGUAGUGGGGGAUAGCCCGGCGAAAGCCGGAUUAAUACCGCAUACGAUCUACGGAUGAAAGCGGGGGACCUUCGGGCCUCGCGCUAUAGGGUUGGCCGAUGGCUGAUUAGCUAGUUGGUGGGGUAAAGGCCUACCAAGGCGACGAUCAGUAGCUGGUCUGAGAGGACGACCAGCCACACUGGUACUGAGACACGGCCCAGACUCCUACGGGAGGCAGCAGUGGGGAAUUUUGGACAAUGGGCGAAAGCAUGAUCCAGCAAUGCCGCGUGUGUGAAGAAGGCCUUCGGGUUGUAAAGCACUUUUGUCCGGAAAGAAAUCCUUGGCCCUAAUACGGUCGGGGGAUGACGGUACCGGAAGGAUAAGCACCGGCUAACUACGUG
rnacentral:rRNA from 1 species